UCACUCGAAGCACGGCCUCUUGUUCUUUACCUUCGACCCUGGACAUCCUGUCAUGAGCAAGGGUUGGCCACUGCCAAGAGGGGCGUGGCCAGUCCACUGCUCUGGGCGGUGCCACCUCUGACAUCUGUCACAGCUGGUUUGCAUUAGGCACUGUAACUAGACCAAGCAUUUAGUUGGAGUUUUUGUCACUGGCAUUUGCCAGUCCGUUGCUUUGUGUUAGUGCGUAUGCAUCACCGCAUUCUGGGUUACUCUGCUAGUUUGCCUCAUAGUCAUCGAACCUUGUUCCUCGUUUUUAGAUCCUGCCUUCUUGGACUGUGUAUUGUGCAUCUCUUUAGAUAAGAAUAAAACCCACUGAACAUAAUGCGUUUGCCUGGGAGUCCUGCAUCUGGGUCCGCUCCUGCACCGUUGUGUUUCCUCAUUGAGGGAUGGAGGGAUCAGAGCGAAGUUCCUGGCACUGACGGCACGCUAUGAUGGCGUUCAGCCCCCCACUCUGUCCUCAGCCAUGUCUCAAUAGUUAUGUUAUUAUGUAUUUAAUCAUCUUACAUUAUAUUGUACUCACAGGUGUUGGGUAUCGCAGGGGGCUCGGAGACGGCCCAUGAGUGGGACUUUUGUGUUCUUUUUUUAAUCAUUUGUCUCGUGUAGCACUUUGUUGCUUUUUUUAUAUGAAAGGUGCCAUAUGAGUAAAGCUUUGAUUGGUUGC